rnacentral:rRNA from 1 species
AUUGAACGCUGGCGGCAUGCCUUACACAUGCAAGUCGAACGGCAGCGGACCUUCGGGUGCCGGCGAGUGGCGAACGGGUGAGUAAUAUAUCGGAACGUACCUUUCAGUGGGGGAUAACGUAGCGAAAGUUACGCUAAUACCGCAUAUUCUGUGAGCAGGAAAGCAGGGGAUCGCAAGACCUUGCGCUGAUUGAGCGGCCGAUAUCAGAUUAGCUAGUUGGUGAGGUAAAGGCUCACCAAGGCGACGACCUGUAGCGGGUCUGAGAGGAUGAUCCGCCACACUGGAACUGAGACACGGUCCAGACUCCUACGGGAGGCAGCAGUGGGGAAUAUUGGACAAUGGGGGCGAACCCUGAUCCAGCCAUGCCGCGUGUGUGAAGAAGGCCUCGGUU